rnacentral:rRNA from 1 species
UAGGGAAUCUUCCGCAAUGGGCGAAAGCCUGACGGAGCAACGCCGCGUGAGUGAUGAAGGUCUUCGGAUCGUAAAACUCUGUUAUUAGGGAAGAACAUAUGUGUAAGUAACUGUGCACAUCUUGACGGUACCUAAUCAGAAAGCCACGGCUAACUACGUGCCAGCAGCCGCGGUAAUACGUAGGUGGCAAGCGUUAUCCGGAAUUAUUGGGCGUAAAGCGCGCGUAGGCGGUUUUUUAAGUCUGAUGUGAAAGCCCACGGCUCAACCGUGGAGGGUCAUUGGAAACUGGAAAACUUGAGUGCAGAAGAGGAAAGUGGAAUUCCAUGUGUAGCGGUGAAAUGCGCAGAGAUAUGGAGGAACACCAGUGGCGAAGGCGACUUUCUGGUCUGUAACUGACGCUGAUGUGCGAAAGCGUGGGGAGCAAACA